CAGUGUUCAAGAGGAGAAAGAUUGAGGAUGAGUAUGUACGGGCGAGAUCCGUGGGGGGGUCCGCUUGAGAUUAACGCGGCCGAUUCCGCCACCGACGAUGAUCGGAGUCGGAAUUUGCAGGAUUUGGACAGGGCUGCUCUCUCUCGGCCUCUUGAUGAGACUCAACAGAGCUGGUUGCUUGGACCUGGUGAGCAGAAGAAGAAGAAGUAUGUGGAUCUUGGCUGCAUUAUUGUCAGUCGCAAGAUCUUCGUCUGGACUGUUGGAACCCUACUUGUUUCUGGGUUUCUUGCCGGUCUUAUUACUUUAAUCGUUAAAACAGUGCCGCGACAUCAU
rnacentral:lncRNA from 1 species